UACGUAGGGGGCAAGCGUUGUCCGGAUUUACUGGGUGUAAAGGGUGCUCAGGUGGAUUUGUUAGUCGGAGGUGAAACUCCGGAGCUUAACUCCGGAACUGCCUCCGAAACAGCAAGUCUUGAGUUUGGUAGAGGAUGAUGGAAUAUCUGGUGUAGCAGUGAAAUGCGUAGAUAUCAGAAGGAACACCGGCGGCGAAGGCGACUCUCUGGUCCAUAACUGACGCUGAGUGUGCGAAAGCUAGGGGAGCAAA
rnacentral:rRNA from 1 species